rnacentral:rRNA from 1 species
AGUGAACGCUGGCGGUAGGCCUAACACAUGCAAGUCGAACGGCAGCACAGUAAGAGCUUGCUCUUACGGGUGGCGAGUGGCGGACGGGUGAGGAAUACAUCGGAAUCUACUUUUUCGUGGGGGAUAACGGAGGGAAACUUACACUAAUACCGCAUACGACCUACGGGUGAAAGCAGUGGAUCUUCGGACCUUGCGCGACUGAAUGAGCCGAUGCCGGAUUAGCUAGUUGGCUGGGUAAAGGCACACCAAGGCGACGAUCCGUAGCGGGUCUGAGAGGAUGAUCAGCCACACUGGAACUGAGACACGGUCCAGACUCCUACGGGAGGCAACAGUGGGGAAUAUUGGACAAUGGGCGCAAGCCUGAUCCAGCCAUACCGCGUGGGUGAAGAAGGCCUUCGGGUUGUAAAGCCCUUUUGUUGGGAAAGAAAAGCAGCAGGUUAAUACCCCGCCGUUCUGACGGUACCCAAAGAAUAAGCACCGGCUAACUUCGUG